CAGUCGCCACGGUAAUACGAAGGGGGCUAGCGUUGUUCGGAAUUACUGGGCGUAAAGCGCGUGUAGGCGGGCGUUUAAGUCAGGGGUGAAAUGCCAAGGCUCAACCUUGGAACUGCCUUUGAUACUGAAUGUCUUGAGUCCGGGAGAGGUGGGUGGAAUUGCGAGUGUAGAGGUGAAAUUCGUAGAUAUUCGCAAGAACACCAGUGGCGAAGGCGGCUCACUGGCCCGGAACUGACGCUGAGACGCGAAAGCGUGGGGAGCAAACAGGAUUAGAUACCCGAGUAGUCCCUGUCUCUUAUAC
rnacentral:rRNA from 1 species